rnacentral:rRNA from 1 species
GAUGAACGCUAGCGGCAGGCUUAACACAUGCAAGUCGAGGGGUAGAGGAAGCUUGCUUCCUUGAGACCGGCGCACGGGUGCGUAACGCGUAUGCAACCUACCUUUUACAGAGGGAUAGCCCAGAGAAAUUUGGAUUAAUACCUCAUGGUAUAUAUCAUUCGCAUGUUUGAUAUAUUAAAGUUCCAACGGUAAAAGAUGGGCAUGCGUCCUAUUAGCUAGAUGGUAAGGUAACGGCUUACCAUGGCAACGAUAGGUAGGGGUCCUGAGAGGGAGAUCCCCCACACUGGUACUGAGACACGGACCAGACUCCUACGGGAGGCAGCAGUGAGGAAUAUUGGACAAAUGGGCGCAAGCCUGAUCCAGCCAUGCCGCGUGCAGGAAGAAGCAUCUAUGGUGUGUAAAACUGCUUUUGUACGGGAAGAAACACUCCUCGUGAAGGAGCUUGACGGUACCGUAAGAAUAAAGGAUCCGGCUAAACUCCGUGCCAGCAG